UUUUAGUAUAAGUUUAAACUCCUAGAAGUUCGGGGCAUAAAAAUGUUGAAUAUAUGUCGCACAGCCCUAUGUUUUGACCUUUGAACAAAAUAAUAGUGCAUAUCAACUUUUCGUUCUAGGGUAAAAGUAUCGACAACCUGAAGAACCAUAAGUGUUCAUAAAUGGAUAUCAUAACAUGUUUAUUUCAAUGUUCAAAGAUCUUAAUGCAAUGUUAAAUUGAUACCCUUCAAAAAUAAGUUUACUGAAAGGAUCAAUAAGUUUAGAUGGAUUGUUUAUGAAUUUUCGAGCUCUAUUAACCGUAUCACCGUACAUAUCAGGAUAAGAUAUCCCGUGGAUAAUAUGUUUUUUUACAGGUACAACCAAACUUCCAAACCAAAUCUUUGUAACUAUGAAAAAAAAAAAAAGUAUUAAUUUGUGGUAACAACUAUUUGUAUUGUCUGUUUUUUCCUGUUUUUGCUCAUGGUGAUGGCUGUAUUACGACUUAUGAACUUUUAUCAACCUCUUGGUAUCUUCUUAUCUUAAUUGAUUUAUUUAUUCUUUAUUCCAUUUUAAUAAACACAUUUAAAAUUGUUGUGUAUUUAUGUGAAGUCGGAGGUCAACUAAAACAGCCAUAAAACAUCAUAGGAUAAUUAUAUGUAAUUUUCUGUCCGGAUCAACCAAUUAUCACUAGAUUAUUCAGAGUGAGAUCAAAAGUUCAUUAACUGCAAGUUUCAAAAUUGUCUUCUUCAAGCAAAAAAAAAAAGAAUAGACCAAAUCUUAAAAGAUGGAACAUUCAGUUUUCGGAUGCAGUGGUCGGAUCAGGUUAAUUGUGAUGAUGUUGAUAUGUAUUAUAAAUCUUUAAAUUUAAUUUUCAAAAGUUAUUGUGUACACGGUAUUACAAUUUUUAAAAAGACCUAAAUUAAUAAAAUUGUAACUUAAGUUUCUUAAAAAUUAAGAGAAGAGUUAGGGACAUAUAGCACUAAAGGGAGCCAAGACUUGGUAAGUCAUCAGAAUGUUUAAUAGCAGGACGAUAUUGAACCGUCUAACCAAAUUUAAAGCUGCAAAAUUUCGAAGCAGACGACCUCUUUAGUUUUUAAUAUUGACUAGUUUUUGUGUAACACAUUGGCUCAGUUUAGAAUUGUCAGUUGUCUUUCUUGAUCAUUAUAUGAUAGAAAAUUAUAUAACAAACAUACCUCUUUAACCCUUAUUGGUACCCCUCUAAAAAGAUUAAUAUAACAUAGGUUUUUAAUGAAAACUGCCUACUCCCGGAAACGACCUUUUGCUAAAAACAUAACUAUGCAUUUCAGAAUGACAGCAUGUCACAUGAAGAUUACGCCAAGAACUGGAUAAUAGUUUCGCUUUCCCAAGGCAUAAUGACACUUUAAUAGCGUUUUAAUGUUUUUGAAACAGAUGGGAUGUUUUUUUUACAAAUGUUAAAACUAUAUGAACGAUUAUCAUUUAUUAUAAAAUUAAGAAAAAUAGUUUAAAUAAGUAUCAUCAAAAUACCAAUCAUUUGAAAAAUAAUUUUCCCUGCGCACAGAUAUACUUCUAGUUCAAUAAUGAAAUAUAACAUCAUUUUCUUUGUGUUUGUGAUUGUUUCAAUUAGAGAAUGCCAUUCUUGGUGCAGAGGGAACCAAGUUUCAGAAAAUUCCUUUGGAUGUUACUAUGAAGGUAACUUCAUACGAAAAGGAGAGACCAUUAGUUUUUUUCCGCAGUGCGUAUGGUGCAGAUGUUCUAAAACAACGCUUGAAUGCUGUUCAAUAGGCAUUGAAAUAACAAGCGUGGGGCCGGAAUGUAAAAUUGUUCAGGAUGGUUGUACCCAACGAGCAGUUUUAAAGUCGGAUAGCAAUAAAGAAUGCUCUUCGGUUAUGGGAGCAAUUGGCAAGUAAAGCAGUUGGACCCUGAUUCGUUAUUGGUGGAAGCAUUGUGGUAUUUUGGGAUUAAAGCCAUGUACCAGACCGUAUGACACUUUUAACAUUAUAAAUAUAUAUAAAAAUAUAUAUUAAAGAAGAUAUUGUAUAGUUU